ensembl:lncRNA
AAAAGUAAGGACUUGGCACGUUCUAGGUUGUGCAGCAUAAGCUGGGCAACAAUGUGAGCUGCAGCCUUUGCCUGAAGGAAGCAGAAUGAAGAAGCCUUUGUGUAGACUCGCAUCAGGUCUCCCAUGCUAAGAUUGCAUUGACCUUCACGAGGUGCCUGGAGGAGCAACUGCUGGAGUUGACAGGACCCUGUGUAUGCCAGCGUCUGUGGAGGUUCAGGUAUAUCUCUCCAACAGUAAAUGGCAAGGAUACAACUCUUUGAAAGAUAAUGGCAGGACAAGGGGAAAUGGUUUUAAGUUGAAGGAGGGAAGAUUUAGGUUGGAUGUCAGGGGGAAAUUCUUUACCAAGAGAGUGGUGAGGUGCUGGAACAGGCUGCCCAGAGAGGUCGUGGAUGCCCUGUUCCUGGAGGUGUUCAGGGCCAGGUUGGAUGGGGCCCUGGGCAGCCUGGUCUAGUAUUAAAUGUGGAGGUUGGUGGCCCUGACUGUGGCAGGGGGUUGGAGCUUCAUGAUCCUUGAGAUCCCUUCCAACCUGGGCCAUUCUGUGAUUCUAUGAUUCCAUGAUAUGAUAGUGCCUUGUGUCUUUAGAAUAACAGGUAAAACCAAAGCUCAUGUGUACCUGUGGUUUCAUCUCUCAAAUUUCAACCUAGGAAAUCAGACUGUAACCACCAGUGAGUCUAUUCUUGAAUCAUGGGUGUUCUAUUUUUUUUGCUAGCAGGCAGCUCACUGCAGAUAUCCAGUCCUUGUGCAUACAAACACGGCAUUUGGUGCUUUUCCAGGGAAGACACCAGCUUGCAGGAAACCACUGAAAUGUGUAUAGCAAUUUUCCUCUCAUUUUUACACUCAGUGAGAAAUCAAAUUCUCUUAUGUGAGUGGAGCAGGCAUCUGCAAUUUUUUGAUGCACUAAGCGUAACAGUAAUGUUAACCACCCCAUCUGGUAAUCUGAGUGAUAACAACAUCGCCUCAGCUCUGAUGUUCCUGCUGGUACUGCAGUUCGUGUCAUUGCCAUUAGUAGCAUGUGCCCACCAUCCUCUUCCUACAGAGCUGGUUGCAGUUUGGGACAUAUCCUUUUAGAGCCUCAUCCCUUGAGGCGUUGUUAUGUGCAUCUCAACCUCUCCAUCCCCAUUGGAGCUGCAUCUUCCUACCAUCUUUUACCACUUCCAAGAAAUCGUCCUGAUGAGGCAUCCAGGAAUGGGAUGUGGUGCCAGGGGCACUGCGAGCUCCCCAAUAGGACUGUUGCCUGCAUUUUACAAGUAGGAGCAGCAUUGUGCAAGGGCAGAUGGCCGAACCUGCAGAACUAGUUUCAGCCAUAAAUGCUCGGAGCACCCUGAAUGUUUGGUGGCUUUUUUUUUUCUUCUUCUUCUUCUUUUUUUUUUUUUUUUUUUUUUGAAGGCUGAAAUAUAUUUGGGAAGUACUUGUUCAAACUACAGAGCCAGUCAAAUAUUAACAAGUGGAAACUGAGGGGAAAAAAAAAAAAAGAAAAAAAAGAGAUACUUUGAAGGGCUGAAACUUGUGUGGGUUCUUGCUGUAUUUGCCAAACUACAAUCACUGGGGCCACACUUGCGACAGGCUAAAACGCUGCUGUGAAUAGAAAGUACAUCAUAAGGGUUCUCAAAUACGAAAGUGGGGCUGGAACAAAGGGCAGGCACCAGACAGACUUCCCCUGUUACGAUUACCAGCGUGUCACCCUGGUGCCAGCAGUCUGGUGGCGGCAGCGGGCGGCCGCCUCGCGCCGAAUGCCACCGGGCAGCUCUGAAACACUGCACAGCCCCGCUCUGUGUGCAGCCUCGGUGCAGCAGAAAGAGUUUUAUCUCCCCUGUUCGGAGAGUGUUUGCUUUAAAGAUGAUCUACCACAAUUGACCAUUACCGAAUUUCCUAAAUUGAGCCCGAGGCUUGGUUGCUAUUCCGUAAGGUGCUGUUGCAGAGCAGUGUGCAGGAGGUGUGUUAAUCGAUGGGUAGCAUCUCCGAUACAACACCUACAGGUCAGCAGUGCACAUGACCCAUUUGGGUGCUGAUGAGAUUUCUUCACUAAUAGUGCUGCUGGUUCCAGUGCUGCGCGAAUGCUCUUUCUCCACUUGAAUGGGAGGCAAUACAAAGACGCAUUGUUUCAUGUAUAUUUUGUUGGGAAAAUUACCAAACAUUUAUAUUAGAACAUUUGACAACGGUGUCAACAUUUCCCUGGGCUGCUGCUUAAUAUACCUUAAUUAUUAGUUUUCCACGUGGUGGCUCUUUUAAUCUGUUCUUAUUAAACUCUUCCACGUUCCACUAAUAUUGUCGCUGUGUUUCUUUUGAAGGAAACAAGUGUGUGUACCGAAAGAUUAGAUUAUCCUGCCCCUUUCUGGGGGCAGAAAUGUCUUCAAAAUGAAGUACAUCAAAAGUAAAAGUAGGUGACAAAUGUUAAUAUUUGCAAAGUGCUUCUGCUUUGAUCCCGCAUUUCUAUUUUUUUAAGAGUUUGACAAAUGUGUCCUGUGGUUUGGCUUCAAACCUCUUUGCCCAGCGCUUUACUUGACCCACAACCCAUUUGAUCUUCCACUUGUUUUUUCUUCUGUCCAGGAGGCCUCCGGACUCGAUAAAGGACAGUUCUUAUCUCCCACUCGCUGUUGUUCAGAGGCAUCAUUUUUUAUUUUCGGUUGGAUUAGGUUAUUGUGUCUGUUUGCUUAGGCGAUUUCUAAAGAGACAUUCUCAUUGCAGUUAUUCUUUGUGAUGGUCGCCUUCCCGUUCUCAAGCCAGUAACAGCUAGAUCCGAUCAGGACCUGGAUGCGCCCACUGAUUCUGGCACGGGAUGUGAGGCAGCAGGGCUGAUGGCUGGCUGCCACUGGGUUCCAUCACAUAAUUAUCACGCAUCAUGUCCCCGAUACCAAAGUAGAGAGGCUUUCUAUUAGUUAAUAACCAGAUCCCAUGAGGAGCUCUGGAGAGGAUUUGUCUGGGUACAGGGAUCCUAUUGAUCUUAGUGUUGCCCCAAAACCCAUUUGGCCACUUCUGAUCCUGACCCUGCUAUUGUCCCUCGUGUGCCUGACCUCCUGCGUACCGAUAGCUUUAAAGAGAUGAACAAUCAAGCACAGCCUGAAUUGGAUGAGUGCUCGCCUGUGUGACAGUGUGGGAAGAUUCCCUACAAGUAGAGGUGCCCCUACAGUACGUCAGGUGGUGACAGGGGGUCGCUGCUGCCACACUUCAGGACAGCACUUCUGCCAGGCUCCUGCGUGCUGCGUGUUCAUUUUAGGAUUCUGUAUUCCUUGCAGGUAGUGGGGCUUCAGUGAAUUGCACUCCAACUCUGUCCCUAGGAAAAGGCAUUGCCACAAGUGAGAUUAAUUCCACCAGUGUAGCAAGAGAUAUGUGUGCUUUGAAUAAGGGUGGACGUGAGGAGAAGGGGAGCUUGCUUUUAGGAGCAAUAGUUACAAUGCCUUUCCUAACUGGGGUCAUCAGCCGGGGUGUUAGAACAGUAAAAAUAUCUUUGCUGCUAUAUUUCUUGUCUUAAUGGGAGUGUGACAGCUGUCAGCUCUCUGUCUCAUUCCUCCUCCUGCAGAACACAUGCAGGGAAGGCAUGCAGCAAGGCAUGGAGAUUUUCAUGGGUACGGCUGGGUGUCAGUAAAAAAAAAAAAGAGAACAACAUGAAAAAUCCUGAGAAUGAGGAAAACGGUGAUGAUGGCACUCAGAGAUCCAGGGAGAGUCUAGCUAGGUAAACACUUCAUCACUGCACUGGCCUCUUCUUUGUUUGUCUAUCACUUUCCUUUCUCUCAUUUUUAAUGCAGAACUAUUUCCUUUUGCUCUUACAAGUAUAGGAAUCCUUCUGCAGGCAGCAUUGUAUCUUCUAACACUUUACACUUAGUCAGGCACUCUACCUUUCACAGGGUGUCAGAAUGCUUUUCUUCUGAGAGAACAAUUUUAUUUUAUGUUUUAAAAAACAGCACCAGGGUAUUGCACCUUUUUACUUAAAGGAAUAUCUGCAGCCAGAUCAGCUCUUGCUUUCCAAUGCUGUUUUCACAGGCAUUUCCUGAAGACGGACUAUCAGACAAAAUGCUGACUUUAGCCUUUUCUUUAUCCUCUGUGUUCAGUAUUAUUUUAUUCCUCUUGUUUGUUUUUGCAGUUUCUUUUUCUGGGUUUUACUGAGAGCAUUCUGCCAGAAGACCAGGAGGUUCAGCACCAGCAGUGUGUCAGCUCAGAAGCUGUGCGUGUCUCUGCUGGAGCCAUCCCUCAGCUUGCUUUAUGAUUUAUGACCAAACUAAGAUAAACAAUUAAUCAUAAUUAAGGAAUGAAUCAGAUAAAGAAAUUUCUCUGCUUGGGGGAUUCUUCUGGUGGCCAAAAUCUGCUGUCGUGUCCCUCACUCCACCUCUCAGCUUGCAGGAGUCCAAGUGGGAAAGCGGAAAUAACUAAUGCUUGGUGCUGUGCUGGCUUCACAGAAUUACAGAAUCACAGAAUGGUUUGGGUUGGAAGG